AGUUACAGGUCAUUUGAACGGAGCGGAGCUGCCUCCUUUACUUUUAGGUUUUGAGGAUGAGCACUAGUGCAAUAGUUGCGGAGAAAGUGUGGAAAGAUAUCCAAUCGACUCAUUCAGGUCUCUUCUUGACCUCGGAGUCAUAUUUGGUUUAUAUCAUAUUUGAGUCUCUUCAUUUCCUAUUUUGUUUUGGUUUUCAAUUUUUCAUGUUCUGGAUGGAUUGGUGCAGUGAGCGAUGAGCAACUCUCCAUGUCGAUUGCAUUUCUUGUUUGGGAAAAAUUUGGAGAGAGCAACGAGAAUAGUUGAUCAAAGAGGUGUGAAGAGGAUCUUGGGUGAGCCCAGUGGUCGUUCCAUCUUUCAGGUUGUGGGAGAGUCAAAGAGGAAGGAGGAAUAUUUAUGCUUUGCAGAACAUUAUUGUGCCUGUUAUUCUUUCUUCUAUGACAUUGUAAACAGAGGGGAGCAGCUUUGUUGUAAGCAUCAAUUAGCUGCCAGACUUGCUUCUUCGUUGGGAACAUGUAUUGAUGUUAACAUGUCUGACGAUGACCUUGCUCUCAUCCUCUCCCAGCUUUGAAUCUUGAGCUUCUUCCAGAUGGCCAUUCUAGAACAAAUCAAUUUCUAUAAGCCAUCCGUGUUGAAAUGGAAGGGGAGCCAUGGAGCAACUGGUAAAGUUGCUUCCAUGUGACCAGGAGGUCACAAGUUCAGGCCGUGGAAGCUUUGGCAGAAAUACGAGUACAAUAGGCCCUUGUGGUGUGGCCCUUCUAUGGUUCGUGCGCAUAGUGAAAGUUCUAGUGCACCGAGAUGCCCUUUUUCAUCGGUAUUGAAAUGAUCAGUUCUUAAACAAAGGCCAAAUCAUGUGGAUGUUCAGCUGGCUGAAGGUGCUCGUAUAACUUUUCUGAUGAUUAUAAUGUUAAUGUUCACGUAAGUUUAAAAACCACAGUUGUCUGCAUUUUGUUUUGAUACUAAAAUCAUUGCAGAUGGAUGUUGGUGUAUUUCUCCUUUUGGGCUAUUUUUCGCAAUAAUACGUUCUUAUGAGAUUGCUAUAUGUUUUCAGAGAAAGAUCAGGUUUCUAAGUUAGUUGAUGAUAAUCUCGUUUUCUUUUUCCUAUUCGUGCAAGCUUGUAAGCACCUCGAAUACCUACCUCCCACCAGCAUAUGUUCUGGGUAACUCUGCCCUCUAAAGCUUAGUCAGAUGGGAAGAAAUCACAUAAUGUUUUUUGUAUUUGUUUGGAUUUCAGAUUUGAAUCCUUGUCUCCAAUUCUUGGUUGCAAGUUUCUUUUUUGGUCCUCAGAAUGAAUUGACUGUCGAAGACCUUAUCAUUCUAGUUUUAUUCCAGGACAGAAAUUGAGGCUAUCACUUUACCUCUUAAUAGCUUAAGGUUGAAGCAGCAUCUUGUCCUAUAAGAAAUCCAACGAAUCAUAUGCUUUUAUAGUUCUCAAUGAUUACGAUUUGGGUUUUGGAACCACUGCAUUGUUUAAGAGGACCACGUCCUUUUGGAACUUACGACAAAGUAAUCAGAUGACGAGGAUUCUCUGCAUUGCACCUAGUGUACUUUUAAAUAUCUUGCUAAAAGAGGGAUCAAUAUCUGAUCUCAUUUGUUUGGUUGAUGUACAUGGUGAAGAAAAUAUCUGGUGAUAUCACUGUUUCAGUAACUUCUAAAGCUGUCAAUAUUUUGGAAAAUUAUUCUUGUUCUAGUAUACUCAUAUUAUCAGAUGAGGAAACCCCUAAGAGAGUACUGGAUACAAUUCAUAUGUUUCAGUACUGGAAGCUUAUGUUAUUUAAUUGUACCAAGUUGCACUUUCUGAGACAAGGGUAUUGAAAUCUUGAUGUUUUUUG